rnacentral:rRNA from 1 species
CACAGAGAGCUUGCUCUCGGGUGACGAGUGGCGGACGGGUGAGUAAUGUCUGGGAAACUGCCUGAUGGAGGGGGAUAACUACUGGAAACGGUAGCUAAUACCGCAUAACGUCGCAAGACCAAAGAGGGGGACCUUCGGGCCUCUUGCCAUCAGAUGUGCCCAGAUGGGAUUAGCUAGUAGGUGGGGUAACGGCUCACCUAGGCGACGAUCCCUAGCUGGUCUGAGAGGAUGACCAGCCACACUGGAACUGAGACACGGUCCAGACUCCUACGGGAGGCAGCAGUGGGGAAUAUUGCACAAUGGGCGCAAGCCUGAUGCAGCCAUGCCGCGUGUAUGAAGAAGGCCUUCGGGUUGUAAAGUACUUUCAGCGGGGAGGAAGGCGAUAAGGUUAAUAACCUUGUCGAUUGACGUUACCCGCAGAAGAAGCACCGGCUAACUCCGUGCCAGCAGCCGCGGUAAUACGGAGGGUGCAAGCGUUAAUCGGAAUUACUGGGCGUAAAGCGCACGCAGGCGGUCUGUCAAGUCGGAUGU